rnacentral:rRNA from 1 species
CGGACCUCAGAUCAGGCAAGACCACCCGCUGAGUUUAAG